UACGGAAGGCAGCAGUGGGGAAUAUUGCACAAUGGGCGCAAGCCUGAUGCAGCCAUGCCGCGUGUAUGAAGAAGGCCUUCGGGUUGUAAAGUACUUUCAGUCGUGAGGAAGGUGUUAAGGUUAAUAACCUUAGCAAUUGACGUUAGCGACAGAAGAAGCACCGGCUAACUCCGUGCCAGCAGCCGCGGUAAUACGGAGGGUGCAAGCGUUAAUCGGAAUUACUGGGCGUAAAGGGCACGCAGGCGGUUAAUUAAGUUGGAUGUGAAAUCCCCGGGCUUAACCUGGGAAUGGCAUUCAAGACUGGUUAGCUAGAGUCUUGUAGAGGGGGUAGAAUUCCAUGUGUAGCGGUGAAAUGCGUAGAGAUGUGGAGGAAUACCGGUGGCGAAGGCGGCCCCUGGACAAAGGCUGACGCUCAUGUGCGAAAGCGUGGGGAGCAAAC
rnacentral:rRNA from 1 species